UGGGCCUCCAUGUCUCACCAUGUUUUACCCAAAGAAAUAGCAUUUAGUGCAUUGAUUUCUCCCAGUAUGAAGUCACAUUGUUUAAUCCAAGGUAAGGUGCCGCUCUGCAUCCUCAAUGCCAUUGCUUGGAGAGAAGGGCUUAACGUCAAUGUGCAGGCAGAGGAGCACUCGGCCUCCCGAGCAUUGACUGCUAAAUGUUGUGUUUAAUUGGAGUGAACCAGCCAUCUCACUUCUUUUCAGUGCUUUCCUAGAAUUUGUUAGUAGGCUUUGGUUUUAUAAGACAACCUUUUUCUCAAUUCUCAUCCACAGGUUUUUUUUCAGACAGAUGAGGACACAAACAAACAAGUUUAAUCAGCUACAAGUCAUUAGUGGAUUCUGCAUAAACAGUCUGAGAGUGCUGGCCAGCAGUCUCCUGAUCAGAGAAGACAAACGGUGCUGCUGAUGGACUUGGCAGUAGAGGGCUGAGAGGAGAUUGCAUGUGAAUGGAGCCAGGAGAGAGCGGAGAAGAGCAGUCUUAUCAAGUACAGAGAAAUUGCAAUGAUCAACCCAGCAGAUGUUCUAUCCAACACGACAGUGCAUGGUGGAGCGACCAGCACAGCUGAGCUUACGCUUACAGAGGCUAGAGGAGAAAAGCUAUCUCCUUUAGGCCGAGUGGCUCUGCUCUUUAUUAAAAAGAAACACAUGUAGUGUCAGGGCGUCCAAGUAUGAAAUUCAAUUCUCAUCCCAAAACGGUGUUAUUAUUAAAGCUGUGCUAUCACACAAAGCAGGCCAGGCUUGCUCAGCUGUACGGGCACACAGUGUGCGAUGGGGUGCAGGGCGUAUGGAGGCUGAGGGGGAAUCUGACAGGCAUGAGCGAGGCUGCAGAGGCUUAAAACACCCAAAAGGCGACUCAGGCUCUUAUGCAAUUUAGUAUGGACUUGGUUGAGUUGUGUUGGGUUAGUGCCUCUGCAUAGAACAGUAGGCUGAGUCAACUGCAGAGUGGGAUCUGUUCUACUCUAGUUUGUGGGAUGUUUUGUUAAGCAAAGUAAAACCAAAGAAAAUGCACUAUUGUUUAUAACAUUACAUCAUUACCCCAGUAUUGGAAGACAAAGACAUUUUGAUGUCAAAUUUGAUGUGUUCAUGUUUCAGGUCAGUGAUCCAAACCGUAAAACACACAACUGC
rnacentral:lncRNA from 1 species